GAAUUACUCCCUCCGUUUCAUAAUUCUUGUCUCAAAUUUGUCCAAAAAUGGAUGCAUCUAUUCUUAAAAGAUGCAUAGAUACAUGUAAUAUUUCGACAAGAAUUAUGGAACGGAGGGAGUACUUA
rfam:Brachypodium distachyon strain Bd21 chromosome 3, whole genome shotgun sequence.